AAUAUAUCAACCUUCAGAAUCUUGUUUUGAGUGGAUUGGAUGUGGGUUUGCUGGCCUCCUUUAAAGGGUUCAGCUCCCCUGAAAUGCAUUAGCAGAACAAACCUUGCUCACUGGUGUGAUAAAACUAUCUAUGCUAUUGAAUUUGGGGGAAAGUUCCAGCUUUCUAACAACAGUCAGUCCCUUGGGACAAUCUUGUCAUCAUUA
rnacentral:misc_RNA from 1 species